GCUGGGUGUGGUAGCACAUGCCUGUAAUCCCAGUGGCUCUGGGAGGCUGAGGCAGGAGGAUUGCGAAUUCAAAACCAGCUUCAGCAACUUAGAAAGGCCCUAAGUAACUUAACGAGACCUUGUCUCUA
rnacentral:sRNA from 1 species